rnacentral:other from 1 species
UUUUGCCUGCGGAAUUCGUGAUAUGGAUUGCACAAAAGCUACUGAAAAUCGGGGAACCGAGCCAUGGGUGGCGUGCAAGCCGGCCAGUUCCGGAUACACAAAGCCCACAAGGUAGGUGCCCACCUUAUGCUUGGCUUUUCGCGGACAAGCAUACACGGUUCACGCAGGCCUUUU